UACGUAGGGGGCAAGCGUUGUCCGGAAUCAUUGGGCGUAAAGAGCGUGUAGGCGGUUCGGUAAGUCGGCUGUGAAAGUCCAGGGCUCAACCCUGGGAUGCCGGUCGAUACUGCCGGACUAGAGUUCGGAAGAGGCGAGUGGAAUUCCCGGUGUAGCGGUGAAAUGCGCAGAUAUCGGGAGGAACACCAAUGGCGAAGGCGGCCCGCUGGGCAGGAAGACGGGCGCAAGCCCGUCGGCUGACACUGAGGCGCGACAGCGUGGGGGAGCAAACAGG
rnacentral:rRNA from 1 species